rnacentral:ncRNA from 1 species
CGAAACACAGUAAUAGGGAAAGUAAAACUUACACUGCUGACACAGAGAGUCUUUGUUCGCUGAAAGAAGACACGGAAAGAAAGUUUGAAAAUGGCCUUUGAGUGUUGAUACCAAUAUGAGGUGUCAACGGGAUCGCCCGUUAUAGCGAUACAGUAUUAACAUUUUGUUAAAUGGCGUACUGGAUUAAAUCCACGCGUCGUAUAUUUCGUUAAUACUCAUUUUAUUCAUAUAAGAUGAGUUUUUUAAUUUCAACGAAGAUACGAUGUCACUAUUCAGUCUAUGUUGCCUAUUCAACAACUUGGCGUACUGGUUAAGGUUACUUUAGUGAUAAAGUAACAAACAGAGGUGGUACCGCGAGCUAAGCUUUCGUCCUUUAC